CGGCACUGGUGGCGGCAGCAACAGCAGCAGCAGCGGCAGCGGCAACACUGGUGGCCGGGCCGAGGCGAGGGCGAGGGCGCGGGGCGCACCGCCAUGGGCCUGGCUGGGCUGCAGGCAGGAAGAUGUCCAAGCCCCGCGCAGUGGAGGUGGCGGCAGUGGCAGCGACGGCCCCGGGCCCGGAGAUGGUGGAGCGGAGGGGCCCGGGGAGGCCCUGCACCGACGGGAGAACGUGUUUGCCGGGCAGUCAAAGAUCUAUUCCUUCAUGAGCCCGAACAAAUGCUCUGGAAUGCGUUCCCCUCUUCAGGAAGAGAAUUCAGUUGCACACCACGAAGUCAAAUGCCAGGGGAAACCAUUAGCUGGGAUCUACAGGAAAGGAGAAGAGAAGAGGAAUGCCGGGAAUGCAAUAGGAAGCACCCUGAAGUCCGAGGAACAGAAGGUCAAAGACGCCAGGAGAGGUCCCCUGGCACCUUUUCCAAACCAAAAAUCUGAAGCAGCAGUACCUCCAAAAUCUCCACCCUCAUCAUGUGAUUCUACCAAUACAGUGGGCGCCAAGCAAGCCCUGAAAAAACCCCUCAGGGGCAAACAGGCCCCUUGGAAAAAAGCUCAAGGGAAAACGCAACAGAAUCGCAAACUCACAGAUUUCUACCCAGUCCGAAGGAGCUCCAGGAAGAGCAAAGCUGAGCUGCAGUCUGAAGAAAGGAAAAAAAUAGAUGAGUUGAUUGAAAGCGGGGAGAAAGAAGGCAUGAAGAUUGACCUCAUCGAUGGCAAAGGCAGGGGUGUGAUUGACACCAAGCAGUUCUCCCGGGGUGAC